UUACGGCAAUAUCACGUUGAGACACAGGUUUUCGUCCGAUCACCGGAGUUAAUCAACGUUGAACCUGGACAGUACGUAGAUGGGGGACCGCUGGUGAAUACCAGGUGCUGUAA